CUGAGGAGGGACAAAUUGGCCUCUACCUGCAAACAUUACCUGUUGGAUGUAAGGAGGUUCCUCGCUUUCCUCAGGGAAGAGAACAUCCCACAGGUACUAUUGUCUUAUUGGAAGCUACUUUCUGUGUGUGGGAUUAUCUUUGUCAGGAUCAAGCUCUUUCUAGAACAGGUGUUAAAAUACCUUUUUGGAUGUGUCUUUUUCUUCCUCUGGUUCAUCUCUCCCAGGCACACAUGCUCUCCCUGGACACUGUGAUGAAGACUGAGCUCUCCAACCUGUCCAAAGAAAUAGUCACCCACCGCCUAGAGUUGCAUUCGAAGAAGAGCAAGAACCUUCUGUUACCGACUCAGAUUUGCACCUUCAAGGCGUGGGUGAUCUAGCAGAUUCCAAAGAGUCUUGAAAAACUCAGGAAACACCCCUCAAGGGUGUCACUCACAAGGAGACAUGUGGGUCUCCUUGCUGGCAACAUUAAUGCAGUCACAUGCCACAGGAAAGGGGUCCUCUACUGCGACCGCAUGAAUGAUGAAUACAUCAGCAAUCCCAGAGACAUCUCCAACCCGGCCCUCAUGAGGGCCAUGUGCCACAGCACCUCUUAGAUGCUGGUCCUUCCUCAGUUGAGCCCCAAGGGGGGAAAAAACAUUGAGCCUGAGCCCAGACCAAGCAGACUUUCCACAUCACACAAGUUGAUGGAGAGACAUUGUUGCUGCCACCAACCACUUACAUGCCACUGUCCCAUACAGAG